rnacentral:rRNA from 1 species
UACAGAGGGGGCGAGCGUUGUUCGGAAUUACUGGGCGUAAAGGGCGCGUAGGCGGCCCGCUAAGUCGAACGUGAAAUCCCCAGGCUCAACCUGGGAACUGCGUCCGAUACUGGCAGGCUUGAAUCCGGGAGAGGUGAGUGGAACUGCGAGUGUAGAGGUGAAAUUCGUAGAUAUUCGCAAGAACACCAGUGGCGAAGGCGGCUCACUGGCCCGGUACUGACGCUGAGGUGCGAAAGCGUGGGGAGCAAACAGG